rnacentral:rRNA from 1 species
UACGUAGGGUGCGAGCGUUAAUCGGAAUUACUGGGCGUAAAGUGUGCGCAGGCGGCCAUGCAAGUCGAGUGUGAAAGCCCCGGGCUUAACUUGGGAAUUGCGCUCGAAACUACGUGGCUGGAGUGUGGCAGAGGAAGGUGGAACUCCACGUGUAGCGGUGAAAUGCGUAGAGAUGUGGAGGAACACCAAUGGCGAAGGCAGCCUUCUGGGCCAACACUGACGCUCAUGCACGAAAGCGUGGGGAGCAAACAGG